CGAUAUGAAAGCGCGACAAGAAAUCGUGGCGUUUUUUCUUUGUCAUCGAAUAAAGCGCGCGGUAUAACUCGUGGAUACGGGGCCGCAGCUUGGGGCACCCCUGACGGGGACGAGGCGCUGCUUAAAUUCUUCAUCCGCUUCCCGCCCUUAUCGGGAGACGAGCAUCUACGUCAAUCCAUCGGGGUAAUAAUUCUUCGGGAGGAUUUUUCACUUUGUCAGCACGUAAACGUGGAAGCGACGAAACACGUUCGCGAGGAAAGAGAAUACGGAUGUAAAUCGAGGAGAAAUCGUGAUAAUAACGUGCAAUAAAA
rnacentral:misc_RNA from 1 species